rnacentral:rRNA from 1 species
CCGGAUUUAAAUGUAGAUUGCAUAAAGUAGAGAUAUUUUUUUCCUUCACGGGACUAUCUACAAGGUGCUGCAUGGUUGUCGUCAGCUCGUGCCGUGAGGUGUCGGGUUAAGUCCCAUAACGAGCGCAACCCUUGCUACCAGUUACCAGCAUGUAAAGAUGGGGACUCUGGUAGGACUGCCGCCGUAAGGCGUGAGGAAGGAGGGGAUGACGUCAAAUCAGCACGGCCCUUACAUCCGGGGCGACACACGUGUUACAAUGGCCGGUACAGAGGGCCGCUACACUGCGAAGUGACGCUAAUCUCAAAAACCGGUCGUAGUUCGGAUUGGAGUCUGCAACUCGACUCCAUGAAGCUGGAUUCGCUAGUAAUCGCAUAUCAGCCAUGAUGCGGUGAAUACGUUCC